rnacentral:rRNA from 1 species
UACGAAGGGGGCUAGCGUUGCUCGGAAUUACUGGGCGUAAAGGGCGCGUAGGCGGACAGUUUAGUCAGAGGUGAAAGCCCAGGGCUCAACCUUGGAAUUGCCUUUGAUACUGGCUGUCUUGAGUUCGGGAGAGGUGAGUGGAAUGCCGAGUGUAGAGGUGAAAUUCGUAGAUAUUCGCAAGAACACCAGUGGCGAAGGCGGCCCACUGGCCCGGUACUGACGCUGAGGUGCGAAAGCGUGGGGAGCAAACAGG